GAUGAAGAACGUAGCGAAAUGCGAUAAGUAAUGUGAAUUGCAGAAUUCAGUGAAUCAUCGAAUCUUUGAACGCACAUUGCGCCCAUUAGCAUUCUAGUGGGCAUGCCUGUUCGAGCGUCAUUUCAACCCUUAAGCCCUGUUGCUUAGCGUUGGGAGCCUACAGUACUGUAGCUCCCCAAAGUUAGUGGCGGAGUCGGUUUCACACUCUAGACGUAGUAAUUUUUUCUCGUCUGUAGUUGAGCCGGUCCCCUGCCGUAAACACCCAAUUUAUCAAGGUUGACCUCGGAUCAGGUAGGAAUACCCGCUGAACUUAAGCAUAUCAAUAAGCGGAGGA
rnacentral:misc_RNA from 1 species